rnacentral:rRNA from 1 species
AUGCACUGCACCAUCCACCCUUUUCCCGACGCACCACAGUCGUUGCCCAGGCCAUCCUCCUUUUACAUCUUGGACGAAGACGGCGAGAUCCAAAGUCAAAGGCUUCCAUGGAAAUCUCAUUGUUCAAGUGCAGUACAUGCAUUAAGAUAUUCAACUAGGAUUAUAGCAAGCCGCAGACGCGCCACACCAUUCACCCUUUUCCAACGCACCACAUCCAUUGCCCCACUGUUAGGCCAUCAUUUACAUCUUGGAACGGAGAAGACGAGAUCUAAAGUCAAGUUUUUUCUGUACAAUAUCCUCAGACAAGUAACCGUGGAAAAGAAAGGCAUGGCAAAACCAUUGGUGAGGAAGGUUGCAGAGUGA